rnacentral:rRNA from 1 species
AUACGGAGGGUGCGAGCGUUAAUCGGAAUUACUGGGCGUAAAGCGCGCGUAGGCGGCUUGGUCAGUCGGAUGUGAAAGCCCCGGGCUCAACCUGGGAAUGGCAUUCGAUACUGCCAGGCUAGAGUAUGGGAGAGGGAAGUGGAAUUUCCGGUGUAGCGGUGAAAUGCGUAGAUAUCGGAAGGAACACCAGUGGCGAAGGCGACUUCCUGGCCCAAUACUGACGCUGAGGUGCGAAAGCGUGGGGAGCGAACAGGAUUAGAAACCCUAGUAGUCC